rnacentral:rRNA from 1 species
AAUCAACGCUGGCGGCGUGCCUAACACAUGCAAGUCGAACGCGAAAGCCCUUUCGGGGGUAAGUAGAGUGGCGUCCGGGUGAGUAACACGUAGGUAAUCUACCUUCGGGUGGGGAAUAACUCGCCGAAAGGCGAGCUAAUACCGCAUAAUGCAGCGGCACCUAAUGGUGAUUAGUUGUUAAAGCGGGGGAUCGUAAGACCUCGCGCCUGAAGAGGAGCCUGCGGCAGAUUAGCAGUUGGUGAGGUAAUGGCUCACCAAGGCUUCGAUCUGUAGCUGGUCUGAGAGGACGGCCAGCCACACUGGCACUGACAC